GAUGAACGCUGGCGGCGUGCCUAAUACAUGCAAGUCGAGCGAACAGACGAGGAGCUUGCUCCUCUGACGUUAGCGGCGGACGGGUGAGUAACACGUGGAUAACCUACCUAUAAGACUGGGAUAACUUCGGGAAACCGGAGCUAAUACCGGAUAAUAUAUUGAACCGCAAGGUUCAAUAGUGAAAGACGGUUUUGCUGUCACUUAUAGAUGGAUCCGCGCCGCAUUAGCUAGUUGGUAAGGUAACGGCUUACCAAGGCAACGAUGCGUAGCCGACCUGAGAGGGUGAUCGGCCACAUUGGAACUGAGACACGGUCCAGACUCCUACGGGAGGCAGCAGUAGGGAAUCUUCCGCAAUGGGCGAAAGCCUGACGGAGCAACGCCGCGUGAGUGAUGAAGGUCUUCGGAUCGUAAAACUCUGUUAUUAGGGAAGAACAAAUGUGUAAGUAACUAUGCACGUCUUGACGGUACCUAAUCAGAAAGCCACGGCUAACUACGUG
rnacentral:rRNA from 1 species